CUCUACUGGUCAUAGCUUGAGCUCCUUGGUGAGGCGGAGGAUUCCUUAGCUUGGUUCUGUUUUGUUUUUGUUUUUUUCAAUAUCCCCCACCCGCACUGCUUCUCUGUCGCUGUCUCAGUUCCCUUCGGCACUGCAGGAACGGAGGCACUCUCGGAAGCUCAAAAUGAUGCCACCAUCACUCCUCACCCCCCGCACCCACAGGACCCGACUCUUCAUUUGGCUAGUGACCUGAUGCAGGCAGUGAUGACUCCUCAACCGGCUGGGCAACCCUUUUGCGCUAGGCAUGUUCUAUUCUUCAAGUUCUUGGUGACUUCUCUGACCUUUUACAAGGUCUUCGGGGCACGCAAGAAAUCUGAGGGGCCUCCCAAAGCCCAUUCUCCUGGCAGCGGAUCAACGGCAAGUUGCGCUGGGCCAGCCCGUCUCGGCACCGAUAUCGAAGCACAGUGUCCACCGCGUAGCGCAGCCGAGGGCGACCAAAUAUUUGAGCCAGGGGCAGCUGUGGUGGAGGUCCACAUGACACUGCAAGGAGUACACAUUUAUAAGCUGGGAGCCUGGAUUUGUGGAUGAUAGUUCCCAGAAACUUGAUGGGGAGGAAAGGAGUAGCCACAGUCGACAAAAAAAGGGGAGGGGGGGUCAGUGUAAGGUGUCAACCCCUCCCACAGUCUGGGAUACACCCUGACAGGCUCUUCUGGGUAGCUUUGCUCUCCUCUUACACGUGGCAGGCCCAGCCACCCUUUCCCUUGGCAGCCCUCACCAAGCCCCAUCUUGCAGGUGUAGGAUAGGUGGUAGUUGCAGGGUACAUCACUCCACUGUCCCUGGUCAUGCCACACCAUGACCACACAGUUCUCCCCAGACAGGAAGUAGCUGUCAGGCUGCCCAGGGUUCCAGUUUUCAUAGAGCUGGGAAGGGGGAGUGGAGGAGGUGGUGAGAAGCUUAAACCCCAGAAGUACCAGGAAAAUGCUCUCAGAGGACUGGAGGGAGGACUUAGGGGUAUCCCAGGAUAUGGAAGGGCCAGGGUCUGGUGACUGGGACAGGCAGGGAGGGGAAAUAAGAGGACAGGGGCUCUCCAGGAAGGAGACAAGAGCCAGAGAAGAGAGGCACACGGAAAAAAAGGGUCCAGGGGGAAGAGGGGAACAAAGUGACCAGGAAGGAAGGAAGAGAGAGUGACUGUUAUUGAGGUCAGAAAGGCUUCCAAGAAGUGAUCUAGCCUACAGUGCAGUGACAGUCCUCACCAGAGGGGCACCAUCUGACCACAGGAAGUCACCCUCGAUGGUCCUGUCAUUGAGCCCAAUCCACUGGUACUCCCUGUAUCGAUCUGCAAAGAAAAGUCAGAGGUGCAGUGAGCAGGAAGCCCUGUAUUUCUGAGCCAGUGAUGA
rnacentral:lncRNA from 1 species